GGCCUGAGAGCAGGCGCUGACCUGCCUGCCCCCAGCUUCCCCACAGUUCGGGCCCUCCUCUGGUCGGGGGGCUGCAGGCCCUGCCUCAAAGGGCCGGUGCCUGAGCUCUCUGGGGGAAACCUGUGUGAACGGCGAAGUGUGGGAGAAGGAGGAUAAAAGGAGCUUCAUCUCCGUCACGUUGGCAGCGGGGAGCUGAAGGCAGAAGGACGAGCGCAGGAAGAAAAAUAAAGCAGGUGUCGAAGGGGCCUCCUGAAGCAAGAGAAAACAGCGCCUGCCUUGGAGAAAUGACAAAUCACAGCUGGUGGAUCAAUCUGAGUGCAAGCAGCCCUUCCUGGGCCCACUGCGGGAGCAGCAGGAAGCAGGGACCCCGAGAUGCCGGCCACCUCCCCCCGCCACUCCUGGAGAGCUGCUCCUCAAGCCAAGGGAGGCAAGUGUGUGUCCAGACCCUGCAAACAGAGUGGGAGGGAGCAAGGUGAACCAAAGAACAUCUUGGCCUAGAAGUCUGGAUGGGAUCAGAUGGGAGAGCAUCAGUUAACCUUCUUCUGACCUCAUUUGCAGCCAUUUGGAGCUGAGUCUGCAAUAUGUGGAGGGGCUCACAUGCAAUGAAAAUGCACUUUGGGAGCUGUGGGGCCAACAGAAGGAAAUAGUCAUAGCUCUCUAGAAUCAUCGGGUCUUCCAUUCUGGAAGCUUCAGGUCUCCACCCUUACUCCCAAGGGAGACAGAGCCUCUCAGCCUCCACCUCCCUUCAGCCUCCUGCAGCCUGGCUACACCUACAGGUGUUGCAGCACCGGCUGGAUGAUGGCCCGAACGCCCUUUAGACUCUUGGGGCAGCCUCACUCCCCUUGCUCCACCCCUCCACCAGCAGCUACCAUGAAAGCUGCACAGCCAGUCACUCCUUUCCCACAGUUUCAUGUACCUGACUCAGAAUCACUGGAAGUGAACUCAUAGAGCGCAAGAAACUCUAACUAAGAUGAUUCCAACUUCCCUACCAAAGGGCUAACAAAGUAGAACAAACAGGGGUAGGGGAAGUGACAUGAGGGAGAAUUAACAAAGGCUAGAGGUAAAGCCCCGCGUGAAACAUUUCACGAAAGUCUCCUCUUUAACCUUGUAAGUGGACUUGAAAUUUGCAUGGGUCAAGUGCAGAUCUACUUAAUGUGACUCAUGUUUUAGAAAGCUGUGCUGUCCUGUGGCUUCCCUGCCUGGGCACACCACUACACCACGCUGGGGUGGUGGCGGGGCUCAAGCCUUAGGUGCAAGAUCUCCAUGGGAAAAAAGCUCUCCGUGGGUCCUCGAUCCACUUCCUGCACACUGGGACAGAGUGGGCAGAGCUCCAGAAACCCGUUAACACUCACCUGCUGGGCAGGCAAUCACGAGUUUGCUUUCGGCUCUCCAGCUUCCUGUUGCCCUUCCAGGCCCCCUGAUGCAGCAGCUUUCACCCCCAAGAUGGGGACAGAAAAGGAACUCCAAGCAACAACACAGAAACCGGGCAGCAGGUCUAAAACAUUAUAUUUUAAAAUGCAUUUCAACAUUAAAUAACAUGAAAUGUUGGACAUUGAAGCCUCUCAGCUGGACUUACUAGCAAUCCCCACUUAGAAAGCCCUCCUGUCACCCUAGAUAUGAAUGGAAGUCACCGGCGGUGGCCUGAAAAAGGGCAGGGCCAAGGAGAAGGGGUUCCCACUCGCGCUGGCUUUCAUAAAUAUUUUAAUAGCCAGAGCUUUCCCUCUCUCAGACUUCCCUCGGGGAGUUCUGCUUCUGUAGCUACUGCUGGGCCACUCCGUAUUCAGGUGUGGGGCCCUAUCAGCCUCAACAAAAAGGCGUCAAAACCUUUACAACCCAUUUUGUGCCAGUGACAGUCUCACAAAAAAGAUUUUCAAUCGGAGGCUGUUGGCUUGCUUCUUAAAAUAAUCCAUACGGCCGAAUUUCCACAUGACAAAACACAGUCCAUCUCUUGGCAUUUCCUGCCCCAGGACGUCACUUUGGUGGCUUGGUCAGGACGGUUAAAGGCCCUGCAGUCCCACCUGUCUCACAGAUCGCAAAUUUCUGUUUGCCCAAGGCGCCAUCACCAGGGUACACCUCUCAGCAGGGGGAGAGCUGGCCGGUGGACCCAUCUACUGUCCAGGUAAGGCAUGUGCUACCCAGAAGGCAACUGACGAGGCGGAGGUGGAGGGGCAGCCUGGGAACCUCACCCCUCUCCGAAGCAAACACAAAGUUCUUGACACGGCGCCCUCAGGCCUGCUGCCGCUCCCUGUAGAGCACGCCUCACACUGACGGAGAUAAAGUUUCCCGGGGUCCAAGUUCCAAACUCGGCUGUUUUGUUUCUGUUAAAAUGCAAUUGUUUUUCUCUGGAGUGUGCGGUGACUGCUCAGCGUCAGGAAGAUGUAUGAAAACCUCCACUUCAAUUCAGCAUCCCUUUUCUCCCAGACAAACACGGUCGGAUUUUAAUAAAUCAAAGAGCCACACUGUUUAAUAAAAAUUUAUUGACUUA